ACGCAGCAACGCCGCGUGAGGGAUGAAGGUCUUCGGAUUGUAAACCUCUGUUGAAAUGGGAAAAAAAGGUAGCAAUACUUUGAUGGUACCAUUUGAGGAAGCACCGGCUAACUACGUGCCAGCAGCCGCGGUAAUACGUAGGGUGCAAGCGUUGUUCGGAAUCACUGGGCGUAAAGGGAGCGUAGGCGGGAUCGUAAGUUAGGAGUUUAAUACAUGGGCUUAACCCGUGGCUGGCUUUUAAUACUGCGGUUCUUGAGUAUGGGAGAGGGCGAUGGAAUUCCAGGUGUAGCGGUGGAAUGCGUAGAUAUCUGGAAGAACACCAGUAGCGAAGGCGGUCGCCUGGCCUAAUACUGACGCUGAUGCUCGAAAGCUAGGGGAGCAAACAGGAUUAGAUACCCUGGUAGUCCUAGCCGUAAACGAUGGACACUAGUUGCUGGAGGAGUCAAUCUUUCUGGUGACGAAGCUAACGCAUUAAGUGUCCCGCCUGGGAAGUACGCUCGCAAGAGUG
rnacentral:rRNA from 1 species